GGCGGGCCCUUCCGCAUGGCUGUGCGGGAACCUGGUCAGGUUCGAAAGAAAGCAGCCAUAACCGCGUCGCAGCCAGUGCGGGGCCGGGCCUGCCGCC
rnacentral:SRP_RNA from 1 species